AACACAUGUCUUUUUGAUAAAAAUUUAAAGUCAGGUCUGCUCACUGAAUUAUUUUAAAGAGCCGCAGUAUAUUGACUGUGCAAAGGUAGCAUAAUCAAUAGUUUUUUAAUUGGAAACUAGAAUGAAAGAUUAGACGAAAAAUUAAUUUUCUUUGUUUUAAUAAAUUUAAUUUUAAAUUUAAGUGAAAAUGCUUAAAUAAAAUUAAAAGACGAGAAGACCCUAUAGAUUUUUAUUAUUGAAAUAAAUUUUUAAAUUUAAUUUAAUAAAAUAAUUUAAUUGGGGCGAUUUUAUAAUAUAAAUAACUUAAUUUUUUAAAACCAUAAAUAAUUGAAUAUUUGAUCUAAAAUUUUUAAAGAAAAGAUUAAAUUACCUUAGGGAUAACAGCGUAAUUUUAUUUAAGAGUUCAUAUCUAUAAUAAAGUUUGCGACCUCGAUGUUGAAUUAAGAUAAUAUAUUGGAGUAGAAAUUAAUAUAAUUAGUCUGUUCGACUAUUAAAUUCUUACGUGAUCUG
rnacentral:rRNA from 1 species